UUUUGUCUCAUAAUAUGGAUAUGAUUGUGGAAAAUAUAGCUAGAUUGCCUAAUCCAGAGACAUCGACUAAUAUACAAAAUCAAGAUGGUUCGACCAUCUCGUUGACUCACCCAAGGCCCAUUACAAAACAACAAGCCCGUUUACAAAGUAAAAUCAUUAGCCAAAACACAAGUGGAGAUCUGCGACUUGGAUCCACUGGAGUCACUGACCCGAACAAACCCCAAGGUAACCUAAAUCAACUAAGAUUUAAAACCCUAUCUUCUCACUUCUCUCCAUAAGCGCCGCAACAGCCAUACGCGCAAAAAAAUCCUCCCCAGCCGCAACCAUUCGGUCAACAAGGCCCCCAAUUUUCUCAGCGACGUGUACUCGUGGGACACAACAACAACCAACAAACAAGAGUUACAGUUCACAUAAGACUCAAAAAAAUCGGAAUUAAAAAUAGGUUUUUUAGACUAUAAAUAAGCAUGUAAAUCAGAAAGAAGAGGAGACAAGAAAUCACAAAAGAAAAUAGGCAAGAACUUGUAAUUUACGAAUGAAAGAGCAAUAAGAGAAGGUAUUUUUUUACCUUGA